UAAGGUGAAACCNCGAAUGGCUCAUUAAAUCAGUUAUGGUUCAUUAGAUUGUACCCACAUUUACUUGGAUAACUGUGGUAAUUCUAGAGCUAAUACAUGCAACACAGAGUCCCGACCAGUGAUGGGAGGGANGCUUUUAUUAGAUCAAAACCAAUCGGUGGCGGGUAGGCUCGCCCAUCCGUCCAUCGUUUAUUUUGGUGACUCUGAAUAACUUUGUGCUGAUCGCACGGUCCUAGCACCGGCGACGCAUCUUUCAAAUGUCUGCCUUAUCAACUGUCGAUGGUAGGUUCUGCGCCUACNAUGGUUGUAACGGGUAACGGGGAAUCAGGGUUCGAUUCCGGAGAGGGAGCCUGANNAANUCCAGCUCCAAUAGCNNAUAUUAAAGUUGNNGCGGUUAAAAAGCUCGUAGUUGAAUCUGUGUCGCACACUGUCGGUUCACCGCUCGCGGUGUUUAACUGGCAUGAUGUGGGACGUCCUACCGGUGGGCUUAGCCUCGCGAGGGGCGGCCCAACUAAUAUCCCAUCGCGGUGCUCUUUACUGAGUGUCGAGUUGGGCCGGUACGUUUACUUUGAACAAAUUAGAGUGCUUAAAGCAGGCUACCUUCGCCUGAAUACUGUGUGCAUGGAAUAAUGGAAUAGGACCUCGGUUCUAUUUUGUUGGUUUUCGGAACCCCGAGGUAAUGAUUAAUAGGGACAGAUGGGGGCAUUCGUAUUGCGACGUUAGA
rnacentral:rRNA from 1 species